rnacentral:misc_RNA from 1 species
ACCAACGCCUUCCAACUCCUUCCCUUCAAGUUCAAGAUGAACUGAUGACAAUCAUGAAGGUUGCAACUGCAUGUUUAUAUAGCAAUCCUCAAUCUCGGCCAACUAUGCAUAUGAUUUCUCAGAUUUUAUCAGCUAAGAUUCCACUCUAAAGUACAAAGUUCUAAGUUAAUAGUUCAAUGGCUGAGUGCUACUAAUGAAGUUUAACAAAUUAUAUUUAGAUUGUGGGGUUAUUUUUGUUAGAGGAUAUUCUUAUCCUUGUUUCAGUUAUAAUGAUUAGCUUUCUUUGUUGUAUUUUAUCACUUAGUUUCUUAUAGUUAUCUGUUGCUUUUAUGUUAUAUCUUUG